rnacentral:SRP_RNA from 1 species
GCCGGGCGUGGUGGCGCGUGCCUGUAGUCCCAGCUACUCGGGAGGCUGAGGUAGGAGGAUUGCUUGAGCCCAGGAGUUCUGGGCUGUAGUGAGCUAUGCUGAUUGGGUGUCUGCACUAAGUUUGGCAUCAAUAUGGCGACCUCCUGGGGGCGCGGGACCACCAGGUUGCCUAAGGAGGGGUGAACUGGCCCAGGUCGGAAAAGGAGCAGGUCAAAACUCCCAUGCUGAUCAGUAGUGGGAUCAUGCCUGUGAAUAGCCACUGCACUCCAGCCUGGGCAACACAGCGAGACCCCGUCUCUA